GAAGGAGUGAGAUGGACUUCUAAGUAGGUGCAGGACCUAUAUGGUUUGCACUUAGGGAGUGGAAACAACAACCAGGACUCCAAUGGAGGAGUAAAGAGGGUGAGGAUUGGGCUCAUGCAGCUGGAUGUAUUUGCUCUUGUAGCCAAAUCGAGGAGAGGAUAAAAGGCUAGGUCCAUGGACGGGAACCCCAUUUCAGAGCGAUGGAUCUGAUCCUGCUGGGUGCUUUGCUCUCCAACUCCUGCAUACCUCUUUCUGGAGGGACCUUCUCCAUCGACCAGCCUCUGUUCCAAAGCUACAUGCAAGAGGCCACCAAUGGCACCAGCGACCAAACAAAGAGGCACUGGAGCUACUAUGUGCUGAUUGUUGUGGCCCUCACUGGCUCCUUGGUCUUCCUCUGCUUCUGUUCUCCUGCCCUUAAAUGGCUGCUUUCCCGCUGCCUCCGCUCCAAUGGAGAUGAGGCAAGGACUCCCUUGAGGGACGCUCGCUGCAGUCGAUGCUGGCCCCCAAACUAUGGCACCCUCUCUGAGACUGUGGUCCCACCGCCCCUCAUUCCCAAGGACACCCAAGAACACACUGGAGGCCAAGAAGCCCCAGGAGAAGUCCCCAAGGCUUCCGUGGAGAAGCGUGGAGACCAACCUGGAACUGAUUCAGAGAUCACCUUGGAAGUGGAAGAUGCUGAAGGCCAAGAAGCCCCAGGAGGUCCCAAAGCUCCAGUGGAGAAGCGUGGAGACCAACCUGGAGCUGAUUCGGAAGUCACCUUGGAAGGGGAAGAUGCUGGAGGCCAAGAAACCCCAGGAGGCCUGAAGGCUCCAGUGGAAAAACGUGGAGACCAACCUUGAGCUGAUUCAGAAGUCACCUUGGAAGGGGAAGACCUGGCCUAAGCAGCGGUGGCCCCAGUAGCCCUCCGUCAAGCAAACCUUGCUCUGUACAAUCAUCAUUUUUAGGCUGUAUGACAUUUUAAUCUCAUAUUAUCGAAUAGGGUGGCUAUUCUUUUAAAUGCAACAACUUCCCCAAAUUUUCCUUUUACAAACACCAUGCUGGCAUUACACCCAUCGCCUUUUGGUGCCAGGAUGAGUAGCUUGUAACUCUCUAUAUGUUGGACAGCAAGUCCCAUCAGCCCCCAUCAGUCAAUGGUGAAGGAUGGUGGGAGUUAAAUACUACCAACAGCUAGAAUGCCUUUACUUUGUACCAAAUGCUCCCCAACUUUAGAGCAGGGUAACCAAGUGUAGCUUUCCAAACAUUGGACUCUAAUUCCCAGCAUUUCUGGAAUGGUUGGGACUGGGGUUUGCAAUCUAUAUAGUCCCCAUCCUGUUACAGAGACUUACCCCAAUAUUUGGCUACAGCGCCCAGCAUUCCAAACUUCUGGUUGUUGUAGUCCAACUGUUCAAUUGCUGGCACAGAGACUAUUUCUCCAAAGAGCUUCAUAGCCAAGACCAGACAAGAAAUUAUAUCAUUGAAACUCCCCAUGAAACAUCUGAGCUGGCAAUACCUGGGCAUCCUGAAUCCUAGAGCAAUGCAAUUUGGGUUGCUUUACCUACAAAAUAAUUCUAGUCCAACUGAUAUUUCCUUUUGAACUCUGAAUAUUUAGAUUGUUCAUAUCUCUGGAGGCAAAACUAAGGGUAAAUGUGCCUUAUGGAGUUUCUAUGUUACAUGGGGUUGCCUUUUUAAACAAACUUUAAAAGUUCCACAAUCACUUCUGUGAACUUGAACCCAAAGAAGCCAUAAUCACUUUCUGAACACACUACUUUGAAGACACAAGAAGAAUCUGUAUUCUUCCCACAGACACACAACAUUAUGUUUUCAAAUCUAGGCACCAAAGUAUCUGAAAUAAAGUAUGUAUCAUUUUGCAAUGGGUCUCCUGAAAGAGUUUGUUCAAAGUGAGGUUUCAUCGUCGGUUGGUCUUAUGCCUUUGCUGCAAUUGUAGUGCUGGCUCUACUAUCUGGGAUGUGGCCAUAGUUUUCCCCAGAACCCAAGCCUUGCUGGGUUACUGUAGCUAUAUAGGAUGCUGUGGAAGCAUGGGAGGUGUGAUUUUGUAAGGUCUUGAGUCUUCUCUGUCAAGCUACAACUCCCAAGACUCCAUGACAUUGAGCCAACUGAGUUAAAGUGGUGUCGAACCAUAUUAAUUUCACAGUGCAGGUGCACCCAGGAUAGGCAAAACAGACAUGGAGUUUCAUGUGGCAGCCAAGACUGUAUGGGUGUCUCCAAAGUCCCUGGAUGAGUUGUUUUCUGGCUGCUGAGGAUGGUCAAUUGCCUAGCAGGCAAUCUACAAAUGCAGCAAUUCGUUUUUAAAGAUUUCCUGCAUUGUUUAGCAUUUGGGAUGGGGUGGGAAUACCUAUUUUGAAAACCAGAUAUGAGCAUGUAGUUUUGCUUAAUACUUUCCUCAUUUGGGAGGGGUGUGUGCUACACUGUGUGGUCACCCAGAGGGUCCCAGCAAGCCUGUAGCCAAAGGGCGGUUUAGGGGUUCAAACCACCCCCCAAAAUUUUCAGAUUAAAAAAAAAACUGGUUUACUCAUGAAUUUUAACUGGUUAACCAAAUCCCCACACCAAGUCUAUGAGAAGCAAAAAUUAGAGUCCCUCCAGAACUGCAAGCACAAUCUCCACCAAAUUUGGAUUAUCCACACUAUCAUUACCUAUCUUUCUACCAAUUUACAUUGCAAUAGCAGCAAUAGUUGAUGGAUAGUGGAAGUGACCAAGUUGGUGUACCCAUAGCCAGGGCUGGCCCAAGUACAGUAUAGGCAAACAGAAUUUUGACGCCUACCCCCCCCCCAACCAAUCACUGAAAAAUAAAAGCGUUGGAUAAGCGAAAAUGUUGGAUAAUAAGGAGGGAUUAAGGAAAAGCCUAAAUAAAGAACAACACUCUGGAAACGGGAAAUCCAGACAGGAAACAAUCAGAGCCAGCUAACAUUUCCCAACCAAGGAUGCCCCCAGGGAGGAAGCAGCCAGGCUUUGAAUCUGCAAGACCAUUAAAUGCUAAUCAAGCUGGCCAAUUGCAACAUUCACACUAGCCUCAAACAGACAAGAGCUCUGGCAAGAAGGAAAGCGCUCGCCCAAAGCAGCGACCUUAUUCCUUGCGGAUGCAGGCACGGCAGCGGAGGCAGGAGUUGCCUCAACAGCGCCCCCUACAGGAUGGCGCCACAGGCAACUGCCUAGUUUGCCUCGCGGUUGAACCGCCCCUGCCCGUAGCUGUCAGGCAAAGUCUAAGACAUGGGGCAGAAGGGAGGGGAGGGGGAUCUUGGUGCAUUGGUGGCUAAACCAUUUGUGUGAUGGAAAAAUGAAAUAGAAAUCUUCAAUAGACACCAAAAAAACUGUACAAUCUGAGUAACUUGUGCUUGGCUGAAAACUUCUUGCUAAUUCACAGUGGAAAACAUCUUGUUAUAACUCAUCAUCUUGAAAAAGGAAGAAAGCAGAAGAAAACAAAGAAACUUCUGCCAAUUGUAGAAACUAUUGUCCUUUGUGGUCGACAAGAACUGGCUUUAAGAGGGAGCAAUGUUUCAGGACCUAUUAUCUGUGGAGAACCUUUGCA
ensembl:lncRNA